UACGUAGGGGGCAAGCGUUGUCCGGAAUUAUUGGGCGUAAAGAGCUCGUAGGCGGUUUGUCGCGUCUGCUGUGAAAUCCCGAGGCUCAACCUCGGGCCUGCAGUGGGUACGGGCAGACUGGAGUGCGGUAGGGGAGAAUGGAAUUCCUGGUGUAGCGGUGGAAUGCGCAGAUAUCAGGAGGAACACCGAUGGCGAAGGCAGUUCUCUGGGCCGUAACUGACGCUGAGGAGCGAAAGCGUGGGGAGCGAACAGG
rnacentral:rRNA from 1 species